rnacentral:rRNA from 1 species
GAUGAACGCUGGCGGCGUGCCUAACACAUGCAAGUCGAGCGAAAACACGAGGCGCUUUCUCCUCUGACGUUCGAGUCGGACGGGGGUGUGACAUGUGGAGAACCUACCUAUAUGAAUGGGAUAACUUAGUGAAAACGGAGCCUAUAACCGCAUAUCUAUUCAACCGCAUGGUUCAAUAGUGAAAGACGGCUUUCCAUUCACUUAUAGCUGAUUCCGUACCGUAUUAGCUAGUGGGUGAGGUAACGGCUUACCAAGGCAACGAUUCGUAGCCGACCUGAGAGGGUGAUCGGCCACACUGGAACUGAGACACGGUCCAGACUCCUACGGGAGGCAGCAGUGGGGAAUCUUCCGCAAUGGGCGAAAGCCUGACGGAGCAAUGCCGCGUGAAUGAUGAAGGUCUUCGGAUCGUAAAGCUCUGUUAGUAGGGAGGAAGAAAUGAGUAAGUAACUAUGCGCGUCUUGACGGUACCUGAUCAAGAAGCCACGGCUAACUACGUG